AUGAUGGCUAGGUUGAUCAAAAUCACAUGGUCUUUUUUAUAUUGUGAGAAGAAAAAAACACCGGAACAGGCUAAAUGUUUGCAGACAGGGGAAACUGUUGCUAUUAAGAUGGUUUUUCAGGAUAAGCACUACAAGAACCGUGAGCUUCAGACCAAACGCCUACUUGACCACCCAAAUGUUGUAGGUCUAAAGCAUGGUUUCUUUUCCAAAACUGAGAAGGAUGAGCUCUUUCUGAACCUGGUUCUGGAUGGCUUGGUGGUGGGAAGGAAUAGGGCGGUGGAGACAAGGCAGAGAGUGGGUGCUUCCCGCACUCGCCAGGCCAUCCGUGAUGCAUCUAAUAUGUUAGCAGUACCACGACACGACAUUGGCGGUGGCAUCUUGGGGAAGAAGGGGAUGACAAUGGCUUAG
rnacentral:rRNA from 1 species